GGCUGGGGGUGUGUAAUGGGGAUUUGUUAAAUUGUUUGUGCUAUGCGUGCAGUGAGUGCUGUCUCUGUUUCUCCUACUGAAUCACCAGCAGCGUCUACUUGGCUCGCAAAUCCUUUGGAAUGAGUGGAAUUCUUAAUGAUAGACCCGGGUCUUACUUGAGAUUGGCUCUGUGCAAACAUCAUAGCUUCCCAUAAGAGCAGGCAACAUAUGGUUACAUCUGACCAUUUCAGCCUCUGCCUGUGAAUAUGCCCAGAAAGAAAGACAGAGGGAAGACAGGGGGGAGAAAGAGAGAAAAGGAAGAAAGAAAGAAUUGUGUGAGAACUUAAUAGUGUUCAUGCUAGUUUAAAACUGAAACCAUUACAUUUAAUUAUGCUAACAUUUAACAACGGAGAAAGAAACAGAAUUGGACUUCAAAUAAACAUUUCUGCAAAAAAGCAAUAUUGGUUGCGGAAGAUUUGUCUCAAGUUAAGGGAUGAAAGGACCCCAUGGAAAGAAGAUCCAGGAGACUGGCGAAUGGAGACCAGCGUGAGCUUUUUAUCGAUAAACUGGGCAGCAUGGCCUCCUAUCUGUGGUCAGAGGUUUUACUGCGCUCCACUUUCCCGCCGUGGACCUGGGACAGCCCACCAGGGACAUGGCCGACUUUCGCCAAUAGUGUUUCUUUUAAAGCAUGCUUCGGCUGGCGCCCAAAUAAGUUUGGUCCUUAAAUACUUUAGAGACCACGCUCUGUCAGCUCCACGUGGAGGGAAAUCCAGGGGACUGGUCGUGAAGGACUGGCGAAGACUCUGA
rnacentral:lncRNA from 1 species